GAGGGUAUAGCUCAGUGGUUAGAGUGCCUCCUUAGCAUGCAUGACGUCCUGGAUUCAAUCCCCAGUACCUCCA
rnacentral:tRNA from 1 species